AUGUGCUGGUUUUACCCAUCACAUGAGCAGUGCUUAAUUUGGGAACUAAAUGGUCUCAACUCACCACAGAACACAGAGGAAGCGACUCAGUACCGUUUGAGCACUUUUAUAAACUUCCCCUGUACAUGGUUUCACAAGGUGCUGUCUGUGGAGUCGAUGGCUGUCACAUUGCUGAUAAUCAUGAUCAUAAUCACCAUCCUUAUGUGUGCUUUUGCAAUUCAGGUUACCAGCUCAACUACCGGUUUUGUUCCUGCGAAGAUACUGACCCUUCAGAAGAAUAUCAGCGAGAACAGCGACUUGCAUUUAACCUGCAGCACAUUUAUGUUAAAGGAUAACACCAUAGUUCAUGUUUAUUUAUGUCACAAUGACAUAUGGAUUGACCAAAAGAGGCAGAGGCGUGAUCAUUAUGAUAGCAAUUUGAUCAUACCCGGAGCUAGCCUUAAUCACAGUGGAAACUACAGUUGUGUUUUCUCAAGAGAGAAUGAUUCACUUCCUAAAGAACCAAUGAAAGGACUCAACGUGAUUCAGAUUCUGGUCAAAGGUAAGUAUUCAAAUCCAAAUAUAAUACCAUGUAAACCUUAUUUCUCUCCACUAAUCUUGGCUUUUUUUUUACUGCACAGCCAUUUAUCUCCCUGCAGAUAUUUCAAUAGCUGGACGUUCGGCUGUCAAGGAGGGGGGCGAAGUCACAUUUCGAUGUUCUGUCUCUGACACCCUGCAAACACUCGGUGAUUGUCAAUUCAUCCACUCCCACCUGAGGAGGAAUGAGACACUCGUCCAAGUACAACCGUUCAGCGUUAAACGGAUGGAGGCCACUUUCACCAUCCGAGGCGCCGUCAGUAAGGAUACGGGCAACUACAGCUGCGUGGUGCUGCCAUCCAAAUGCGUUCCAGAGCAGGAGGAAACACGCCAUGGAAAUAACGCAGUGAUGCUCGUGGUCGAAGAAAGGUUGGGCCUCCGAGCGAUGUUUACUUGUGGAGUAGUAGCCCUGAUGUCACUAUUGGGUUUGUGUCUGUGGUGGAUCAACAAACAAAGUCAGAUCAUCGCAGAGAGAUCAAAAGGCAAGUUUGAGAGUUCAUAUUUCGUAGUAUGUACAACGAUUUAAGAAUGACAUAAACAAAGAUCUGUUAUUAGUCAGAGGAUGACUUCUAUUCUAUUUGACAGGGCCUUGUCUCACUAACCACAUCUUCUUACUUGAACAUUUUAACGCUUUAUAUAUGUUUUUUCCCCAUUUCAGUGGCCUUCUCAGCUUCAUUCAAUGCGGCGAGUAGGCACUCACAUGCAGACAUGUUUGAGGAGCAGAACGAGGCAGAGGACAUGGAAUCGCCGCUUUAAAUUCCAUGUGUAAAUAGAAAAGCAUGUACAAACACAUUUUAGUUCUGUCCAAACCAAGUACUUCUGUAAAUAAAUAUUAAAAACAUGUUAUACAAAGGCAUGGGGUGGACAUCUGUUGUCUCUGGUUUUUCUCAAUUACCAGGACUGCAGACAUUGACAAAGGUCCUGUAGGAUGGAGAUGUAAUUGUUGGAAUGCAGUUCUGCAUUCCAAGUAUUGUUCUUCGAAUCUUUAUUCUACCUUUUAUAUUUCUU